rnacentral:rRNA from 1 species
AUUGAACGCUGGCGGCAGGCCUAACACAUGCAAGUCGAACGGUAACAGGAAGAAGCUUGCUUCUUUGCUGACGAGUGGCGGACGGGUGAGUAAUGUCUGGGAAACUGCCUGAUGGAGGGGGAUAACUACUGGAAACGGUAGCUAAUACCGCAUAACGUCGCAAGACCAAAGAGGGGGACCUUCGGGCCUCUUGCCAUCGGAUGUGCCCAGAUGGGAUUUGCUAGUAGGUGGGGUAACGGCUCACCUAGGCGACGAUCCCUAGCUGGUCUGAGAGGAUGACCAGCCACACUGGAACUGAGACACGGUCCAGGCUCCUACGGGAGGCAGCAGUGGGGAAUAUUGCACAAUGGGCGCAAGCCUGAUGCAGCCAUGCCGCGUGUAUGAAGAAGGCCUUCGGGUUGUAAAGUACUUUCAGCGGGGAGGAAGGGAGUAAAGUUAAUACCUUUACUCAUUGACGUUACCCGCAGAAGAAGCACCGGCUAACUCCGUG